GGAGGACACAACUCUCCCUAAGAC
rnacentral:tRNA from 1 species